CUGACUUGGCAUUUUCGGAGUCGGCUCCUCCCAUGAAAUCCGUAGAUCAACUUUUCAAUUUGGUCCGCUCGAGUCGACUCGACAGUCCUGGGAGUCGACUCGGCGCUCAGAGCCCGAACUCCCGAUCUUCUGUCUUUUGGCUCGUCCAGUCUUGGAGUCGACUCGAACUUCCCCGGAGUCGACUCGGCUCUCAGUUUCCGAAACUUAGUCUUCUGUCUUUUUGGUGUACCGCUGCCUUGGAGUCGACUCGAACUGUCUUGGAGUCGACUUGCCUCUCAGAGACGAAAAUACCGUCUUCUGUCUUUGGGGUUGCGCUGUCUUGGAGUCGACUUGGACUUCGCGGGAGUCGACUCGGCUCUCAGUGUCUGAAAUUGGCUCUCUGACUUUUUUGCUUGUUUUCCUCUGGGAGUCGACUCUAGCUUCCUUAGGAGUCGACCUGCCAGCCAUCGGAGUCGACUCGAGUUCUUCAGGAGUCGACUCGGCUCUCAGGGUCCAAAAUAGCUUCUCUGUGUUUCUGCCUUGUUACUCCCUGGAGUCGACUCGUACUAUCCAGGAGUCGACUCGACAAGCAUCGGAGUCGACUCGCGCUCUUCAGGAAUCGACUCGUUGACAGGUUCUGAGAUAAAUCUUUCUGUCCGGCUGUCUGUUGCUUCUUGGAGUCGACUCGAAACUGUAGGAGUCGACUCGAGUGCCUUUCCUUUGAAUUUUUCUUAAAACUUGCUCUUCUAGAUUGAAGCCUUUGAACUUGAAUCUUGGGCCAAUGAGGUGUGGCUUUCUUCCAACUUUUCUUGAGAGCUUUGGAGGCCUUCUUGAAUUCUUCCAACUUGCUAUGUUCCUUGCAAACUAAAUAAUCUUUCUUCUUGCAACACAAACAUUAGUAUUUAUACUUCAAGGUUUUGUGAUCAUCAAAAUCAAUCUUUAAAUCAAUCUUUGGGUCAUCACCAAGCUUAAGAAAAAUAUAUAUAUCACAUGUGUAUUGACUUAGAUUUCAUUGUAUAUCAUUUUAUGAAUGAUGUUUGUGGGUAACAUUACUGCAAACCCUUACGAGACAACACUCGUCCACUAGGAUAAUC
rnacentral:lncRNA from 1 species